UACGAAGGGGGCUAGCGUUGCUCGGAAUGACUGGGCGUAAAGGGCGCGUAGGCGGAUGGCACAGUCAGAUGUGAAAUUCCCGGGCUUAACCUGGGGGCUGCAUUUGAUACGUGUUGUCUAGAGUCCGGAAGAGGAGAAUGGAAUUCCCGGUGUAGCGGUGAAAUGCGCAGAUAUCGGGAAGAACACCCGUGGCGAAGGCGGUUCUCUGGGACGGUACUGACGCUGAGACGCGAAAGCGUGGGGAGCGAACAGG
rnacentral:rRNA from 1 species